rfam:Myotis brandtii contig312554, whole genome shotgun sequence.
GGCAGUUCUCAGGUGAAGCACCCCAGAAUUAGGCUCCUUCCUCUCUGGUUCUGGGUGUGUCACCAGAGAACCGCA